GGGGAUUGAUUAUUGAGAUAAAGAGAGUGUGGGGUCAUACAAAUACCACAAACAUGGUUUUCUAGAAGUGUUGUCUCAUUAUACUAUGAUACAACCGUUGCAUUGGAUCAUUGCUUAUAUAGAGCAUUGAUUUCAAGCAAUCGUUGUGUAGUAAUAUGAUGCAACAACAUUAAAAAACCAUGGCCAUUUGUUUGAUCUAAAUUUUGAAAUAUACACUCUUUUCAUUCUAAUGAACAAUCACAAAAACAAAAAAAAUUGAACACACAACCUAGAUAGGAUUGUUUUAUCCCAAUUAACAUACGCUGUUCAUUUUGGUGAGAUACUUAGAUCUAGGUCUUAAAAGGAUUUUUUCAUUUCCAAUUUUUUUGGAUGACUUUAUUAUUAUUAUAUGAACAAUGUGAAAAAAGCAAAACAAAUUUUGCCUUUAUAAAGGCUAAGAUCUUGAAAUUCAUAAAAUGAAUGGUCUAGAUUCGUGUUUGGAGGGGACUCAUUUUGACCAUAUCUAGGGUUCAAAUUGAAAUGUUUUUUGGGGGGAUUGAUUAUUGAGAUAAAGAGAGUGUGUAUGCAAAAUUUAGGGUCAUACAAAUACCACAAACAUGGUUUUUUAGAAGUGUCGUUUUAUUAUACUAUGAUACAAUCGUUGCA
rnacentral:lncRNA from 1 species